UGUAGCCAGAGAAUCUUUUGAAGAGAAUCAUAAGAAAAUGCUCUCUGGAAAGAAAGUGGAGUUUUCCAAAGUCCACAUGACACGUGAUGUUGCAAAAGACUGAAUGCAGAAGCAGAUAUGAAAUCCAGACAUCUUCUCUUAAGAGAAGGGAAGAAAGAAGAUUGACGUAAAACCUCUGCAGUUGGGUUACACGGCCAGAGCAGGGAUUACAACCUCAAAUCCUUCCAGAGGCCAGACAAGUCACGCAAACGCGGGAGCCUGGUGGAUUCUGGCACAGAGCAACAGUCCGGCCUGGCUACAGGGGCAGCCAUGUCUCUACUUGGGCUUCUUGCUGCUGUGUUUGACCCAGGAGCCCUUGUUGCCCAAUCUCCC